rnacentral:misc_RNA from 1 species
GCCGAUAGAUACAUGAUUGGGAGAAGCGCAAGCCACUUUGAUAACUUCUCACCAAAGGUAGCGUUUGCGAGCUGCAUAUAUCUGCUGUAUCGAAUGCCCUGUUCUACAGAUUCAUGGAGUUGAACCAGGAGAAAAAGAGUGUACAAUUGCCAAAUAAAUGUUAAGGUCAUGUAUAUGACUCCCCAGGCCCAACCAAGGGUGGUGAAAGCAACAGGGAGGACAAGUGCUUGAACAC